UCAUCAUCUACCAUACGGGGUUGUGAUAGCUUAACAGGUGUCCUCUAUCUUCCCCCAUCGCUGGUCCGCCUCUACAUCAAUGAUUGCAAAACCCUGUCAUCCCUACCGAAUGGACCACAAGCAUACUCAUCUCUGCAAAGACUUUUCAUAAAGGAGUGUCCUAGUCUAAAGAGGCUCCCUACAUGCCUGCAGCAACGUCUAAGCAGCAUCCCGGACAAAUAUCUAGAUGCCCGUUUCCAAGAUCCCAGUCUAUUCAAUCCCCUGUCAUGGAGGAACGCCAUCCGCAGAGCUUAGUGAGCUGUCAAUAUGCACAACACCAUCACCAUGGGUCAUGGGAAGCUACCAAGCCGCAAGCAGGAGACCUGACUGGGCCAUGGAUCACUGUCUAUUCCCAGCUUUCUUCUUCUGGCGUCAAUUGUGAGGCCGGGCGGCUCCUUGGCGGAACUGUUUCUGCCAUCCGUAUGUACAACCUAUCUAGAGUAAUACUACCGCUUCUUGUCCUCCUGCUUUCAUUCACCAACACACAUGCCAAGAAUCGUGUUACACUUUAUUUCUUGUUCCAAACUACGUGGCUAGUUCUAGUGUUUUAUCUCCUUCAGUAUGUAUAGAACCAGAACACUUCCUUUUUGUGUGAUAUGUAUGGAUAUUCUCUAUGUAAUAAUGUAGCUGUAUCUUGAAACUUUGUAAUCCAGGAUUUACCUCCAGCUAAGCUUGUUUUCAGCUGCUUUCA